GUGGUUGUAGCUCAGUUGGUUAGAGCGCUUGAUUGUGGUUCAAGAGGUCGCCGGUUCGAACCCGGUCUUCCACCCCA
rnacentral:tRNA from 1 species